CGAGUUGCUAAGGAACCUUUGAACGAGCGGGAGUUGCUAAGGAGCCUCUAAAGGACCGGGAGUUGCUAAGGAACCUUUGAACGAGCGGGAGUUGCUAAGGAGCCUCUGAACGAGCGGGAGUUGCUAAGGAGCCUCUAAACGAGCGGGAGUUGCUAAGGAACCUUUAAACGAGCGGGAGUUGCUAAGGAGCCUCUAAACGAGCGGGAGUUGCUAUGGAGUUUUUGAGCCGUGGAGUCUGUAGCGCUUCACUGAGGGAGCCGUUUAACGCUAAUAUGAGGGUGAUUUAAGGAGGAGCAGGGCGGAGGAGACGGAGAACUGGGGUAAAUACCGGGGGUGGAAGAGUCCCAGCGCCGAGAGUCAGAGGAAGAAGGUUGCUCCAUCUUUCGUUGUUGAUGGAAGUCGGGUGGAUGCACAGUUUACCAAAAGGAAUUUAGGAGCUCCAUCGUAUGGCCAGCCAUCUUCAUCCAUCUUCCUCCACAAUGAGUCUUGAAUUCCUGUUACCCAUGGUGAGCAUGGCGUGACUGCCAAGGAACCGAGUACCGCUGUGUUCUUUAAGGCUGGCAGAUGAAAGACCCCAAGAUCCUCCAAUCAGCAUUCACUCUCCCUGCUCUUACUGGACAGACAGCAGGGCUCUGACAUGAGCAUCAUUCUCAUUGGUUCUUGCACUGCUGAGGAAUGCACACAUAGAAAACAAGUCAGAUUUUCAAAAUAAAAGUCCUAUUAAGUUGCUCUAAA